CCUCCACCUUUAAAUAUGCAUUUCUAUAUUUGACAAGUCAAAUUAAAUGUUUUUGUUUUGUUUGUAAAUAUGUUAGUUUUUGUAUAUAUGUUAAGUUUUAAAGAGUUGGAUCUAGUCUUUAUUGGUGCUUUUUAUAGUUUUGUUUUUGAAAAAGCUUGUUUUUUUUAAAAGGGGACCUAUUAUGGUGUACCGUUGUACAUUUGUCUGUCUGUCAGUCCCUCAGUCCCCCAAAAGACUUUCACCCAAUUUAUAUGCAACUUUUGUGAUUUAAAAAUAUCUAUGAUGAAAGCCAAGAUGGGUACAGUGCUAAAUAAGAUGACCUCAAACUCUGCCAAGUAGGGUUCAGUUACUUUUGCCUUAUUUUGUAAUAGUGUCAAGAAAAGGUACUGUAAAAUUACACUGCCAAGUUGGGUGCAGAAACAUUUUUAAAAAAGUGCUUAUUGAUAUGACUUUAUAACUCACUGCCAAUAAUGUUUUAUUUUUCUUUGUUCACUCUUCAACAUGUUGUACAAUACCCCAAAAGACUGUCACCCAAUUUAUAUGCAACUUUUGUGAUUUAAAAAUAUCUAUGAUGAAAGCCAAGAUGGGUACAGUGCUAAAUAAGAUGACCUCAAACUCUGCCAAGUAGGGUUCAGUUACUUUUGCCUUAUUUUGUAAUAGUGUCAAGAUAAGGUACUGUAAAAUUACACUGCCAAGUUGGGUGCAGAAACAUUUUUAAAAAAGUGCUUAUUGAUAUGACUUUAUAAAUCACUGCCAAUAAUGUUUUAUUUUUCUUUGUUCACUCUUCAACAUGUUGUACAAAACCCCAAAAGACUUUCACCCAAUUUAUAUGCAACUUUUGUGAUUUAAAAAUAUCUAUGAUGAAAGCCAAGAUGGGUACAGUGCUAAAUAAGAUGACCUCAAACUCUGCCAAGUAGGGUUCAGUUACUUUUGCCUUAUUUUGUAAUAGUGUCAAGAUAAGGUACUGUAAAAUUACACUGCCAAGUUGGGUGCAG
rnacentral:lncRNA from 1 species